UUUCAGUCAAAACCAUUCUAUUUCACCAUAAACAAUCUGAAAACAGGGCUUUAAGUCUAAAAUACCAAACUUGUCCUUUAAAGCAUCUUUAAACUUUAAAAACAUGUUGUUUGUCGUGACUCUACAUUGUAAUACUCACCCGGUUACAGUAAUUUGUGUAAUGUUGGACAUACGAUGAAACAACACGACAUUGAUACAGCAAUUUGACCUCAGACUCAUUUUUAUCAGCAGAUUAGUGUGCUUUGAGUACACUACAGUUCUGUAAGUGAAAAAUUAAUUCAUAUUUAUGUGUGUUUCUUUCUCAGUAAGGACUAACUUUAACUGACUUUCUGUCUGUCUGUCUGUUCUCAACCAAACAGUCAUUCAAGACCUUUUAAAGCAAAAACAUUUCCCGUGCAAGUUUGAAUCUCUCUCAGUAAGGACUUAUUGACUGGCUGUCUGCUCUCGACCAAACGGUCAUUCUUACUCAUAAAAAACUUUUAAAGCACAAGUGUGUCCCGCGCAAGUUUGAAUUUCUCUCAGUAAGGACUGACGGACGGCCAUUCACUCAUAAAACCUUUUAAAGCACAAGUGUUUCCCGCGCAAAUUAGAAUUUCUCUCAGUAAGGACUGACGGAUGGCUAUUCACUCAUAAAACCUUUUAAAGGUUAGCACGAAUGCAUCCAGCAUAAUUUUGGAUCUUUACCAUUGAGGAGACUGGCUGACUGUUCUCAACCAACCAUCAUUCACACGCAAAAACUUUAAAGGUAAGUAUGAACGUGUCUAGAGCAGUUUUGGAUCUUUACCAUUGAGGAGGUUGACUGACUUUCAUCUACCAACUGUCAUUAACACAACAAAAACUAAAGAAAUGUUACUACAAGUGGACCUAUUCAGUUACUCAUUAUGCUGUGAGUACACCACAAUUUUAUCAGUGAAACAAUAAUGUUUGUUUUUUCUCAAUGCUUGGCAUAGACAAAUGUGACCCUGUGUAAUUUGGAAAUUUAAUGGGAAAUGUGUACGUCUUAAAAAUGUUUAAAUGUCGUUUGAGUUAAGGAACAGUACA